UCUUCAUCUUCUUCAGUUUGUCAUUCAAUUCGCCCUAAGAAACCUAGUCCUCUGGCACUCUUCUUCUGCCGCCUGGCGCCUGCAGCUCUCCAAAAAAAAUUCAUUUUAUCGCCUCUCUGAGUCAGGCUCACAUGGAUGCUCAAAUGCAAGACGCCUUUUGUCCGCAAGUUAAAGCAACCCUUCGCCUUGGGUCGGAAACAUAUUGUGUUGAGGUGAACAAGGGAAUUGUAUCUGAGCAAUUGGUCUCGAUGAAGGAGCAAAGCAUGAGUGUACUGAAGGACUUCAUCACGAAGCAUAAUGUUCCAAAUGAUGUACCCGAUGAACCAGAAGAGAUUUCUUCUGAAGACGAAGAUGAAGGUGAAGCUACCGAGAAGCCUCCUGUAAAAUCAAAGAAGCGAAAGUAAUUCGUUUCCUUUCUAGUCUCGAAAGUGCAGGACCGGCCACGAUAUAUUGGUAGAGGAGGAAGUAUUCUUGACAUACAUGUAUGUUUUUACAAAAACAAAUUGCAACAGAAUAUGAUUUGCUAUUAUGUAGAACUGUUCUGCAUUUUGGAACCGAUUUCUGAUCCACCCCUCAUUCCUCUCUACCCCCUGCUAUUGCCUUUUCCUGUAUUCCAUACAGCUCUUGUAUGAUAUUUAAUAUUGUUUAUAAUGAUUGUU